rnacentral:pre_miRNA from 1 species
GUAGUAUUCCCUCCGUUCCAAAAUUCUUGUCUUACAUUUGUUUAGAUACGGAUGUAUCUAACACUAAAAUGUAACUAGAUACAUCCGUAUUUAGACAAAUUUAAGACAAGAAUUUUGGGACGGAGGGAGUACAAA